rnacentral:lncRNA from 1 species
CAGAGCCAAGAGAAAAAGACGGUAAAGUGAAGCAAGAAAUAAUGCCACUACACAGCAAUUCUAACCACAAGGAUUCGAGUGGUUACUAUAGAGAGUCCACAAAUGUGGCUCUGAGCAACGAAGGAACCAGACCAGUCAUAGGAUUCACGAGGUUUUGUAAGAUACACACCAGGAGCUCAGAAGACUUGAGACCUGAAAGAAAUUUCUCCCACGCGUCUUCAAAAUGGACACUAAAGUCAUGAAUAACAUUUAAAGCAACUAUCUGGUGGACUCCUGGUUCCAUCUCUUACCAGUUGUGUGACCUUGAAAAAGUCACUUCUCAAGUUCUGCGUUGGCCCAUCUGUCAGAUGAAGGUCGAGGCACCGACCCCCCAGAGCCCCCUGCAGAGGAAGCGAAGCAGCCUGGGCUCGGCCAUCCUCGCGCCUCUGCCUGUGGGCCCUCUUGCCCCUCCGCCUCCCUGCAUCUGCUCUGCUCGACAAUUCGGACAAGACAAAACCGGGAUCCUGUGGUUCCAACUUCAAGGCUCUUUCUUACUUUAAGCCUAUUCUUCACCUAAGUACAAAAGAGAGAAAACAGGAGAAGAAGAACAGAAACAAGGAAAAAAUGCUGUUGGCCUGGCCAGAAGAUCAGCCCCCGGAAAAGUG